rnacentral:rRNA from 1 species
CAGUUGCCAUCGGUAAGGCCGGGCGACUCUGGAUGGACUGCCGGCGACAAGCCGGAGGAAGGUGGGGAUGACGUCAGGUCAUCAUGGCCCUUAUGUCCAGGGCGACACACGUGCUACAAUGGCCGGCACAACGGGAAGCGAAGGGGCGACCCUGAGCGGAUCCCCAUAAAAGCCGGUCCCAGUUCGGAUUGCAGUCUGCAACUCGACUGCAUGAAGUUGGAAUCGCUAGUAAUCGUGGAUCAGCCAAGCCGCGGUGAAUACGUUCCCGGGCCUU